CCUACGGGAGGCAGCAGUGAGGAAUAUUGGACAAUGGGCGCAAGCCUGAUCCAGUCAUGCCGCGUGCAGGAAGACUGCCCUAUGCGUUGUAAACUGCUUUUGUACGGGAAGAAACACCCCCUCGUGAGGGGGCUUGACGGUACCGUAAGAAUAAGGAUCGGCUAACUCCGUGCCAGCAGCCGCGGUAAU
rnacentral:rRNA from 1 species